GAACCAUCCCCCUCUCAUGAGACUGCUGUAAAGAGUUAAUGGGGGGGAAGCUUUGGAAGUUCCUGGAGAAGCCCCCAGCAGAUGUUCCUCUGCCUGCAGCUAUUUGAUCACAGAUGGUCUUCUGCAAGGUGGGAACCUCAGCGGGGGAAAAGACAGACCGGUGGAAGCAUUGUAGAGCUCCAGUGGAAGAAUUCCGUACCUGAAAAGCAAAUGACCCAGUGACUUAACUUAUCCCAUCU
rnacentral:lncRNA from 1 species